GAAGUGUAUGCUUUAUGUUUGUGUUCACGUUUGUGUCUGUGUGUGUAUGUGGUGUUCGUGUGUGUGUGUGUGUAUUUUAGAUUGUCUGCAGCAGAAGGCUCUUGAAGCGCGAAUGGACAGUGUGGAGAAGCGUGUGGAUCAGGCUGUGGAUCUGCUGGAGUCUGAAGUGGCUCUUCUUCUGCAGACUCUGGACCAGAGCCCCCUGCUGGACACUCCUGAAGCUUACAUCCUGGAGGAGCCGCCCGCCACACACACCUGACCACAGGAGUUUCUGCAUGUGCAAUAGCAGCACAGAACAGAUGAUUUUCUUCUGGCCUCCUCAAAAGUCUGAACAGGUUUUAUUUAGUCAUUUUCUUCACGUUAAAUUGAAUAAUUUACACUGUUUAAAUGAAAAUGAACUGCAUUGUUUUCUAUUUUUACUUCGUUCUGGUGAGACUUUUAUCUUGUGAUGUUGACGAUGGUCACAUGAUCAGUCACUGUAUGAAUAUGAAUGCAUGAAUAUGACCAAUAACAGAGUGUUAAGAUGGUCAUGUGACUCUUUCUGGAUUCUCAGUGCUUAUUAUUCAGUAAAUGUGUCUUCUGUCCCAGCAUGCAUUGCACUGAGGGAGGGACUUUUAUCUGCUCUGUGUGUGUUCAUGUUCUGCAUCUCGUUGGAGUUUUGGUCAGGAAAUGACUUGAUUCUUUCAUAACUGUCUGAAAUAUUCUGCCGCUGAACGCUCAUCUUAAUAUCCUUCUCCUCCACAUUUAACAACGGCUGUUUCGAGGACUUUUAUCUUGUUGUUCUGAUGUUUAUAUUGACUUUACGUGUGAAAUCCUGAACCACAAUCAUUCCUGUGAGGACGGAGAGAUCAGAGAGGGAUUAAUAUCUGUGCUGCAGCAGCUCUCAGCAGAUUUACCACUAAUAAAACCAGCAGGUCCAUUCAGCUA